rnacentral:rRNA from 1 species
AUUGAACGCUGGCGGCAGGCUUAACACAUGCAAGUCGAGCGGAGCGAGGGUGCUUGCACCUUAGCUUAGCGGCGGACGGGUGAGUAAUGCUUAGGAAUCUGCCUAUUAGUGGGGGACAACAUUCCGAAAGGAAUGCUAAUACCGCAUACGCCCUACGGGGGAAAGCAGGGGAUCUUCGGACCUUGCGCUAAUAGAUGAGCCUAAGUCGGAUUAGCUAGUUGGUGGGGUAAAGGCCUACCAAGGCGACGAUCUGUAGCGGGUCUGAGAGGAUGAUCCGCCACACUGGGACUGAGACACGGCCCAGACUCCUACGGGAGGCAGCAGUGGGGAAUAUUGGACAAUGGGCGGAAGCCUGAUCCAGCCAUGCCGCGUGUGUGAAGAAGGCCUUUUGGUUGUAAAGCACUUUAAGCGAGGAGGAGGCUACUUAGAUUAAUACUCUGUGAUAGUGGACGUUACUCGCAGAAUAAGCACCGGCUAACUCUGUGCCAGCAGCCGCGGUAACAC